rnacentral:lncRNA from 1 species
AAAACAAGAAGCCAUCUUGACCAUUUAGGCAUUUACUCGAUCAUCAACGAGGAAUCACUAUAUAUUACAGUCCCACUGAGAGCCUACAUUGCAUUGAUCUUAAUUAAUCUACCUACUGUUCGAACACCAAGUAAAGACCGGGGCACCGAUCUUCUCGAGUCUCCUUAAUUAAAUUUCCCCCCUCUUUUCUGAUCACAAGUUCCUCUCUACAGAAAACAGACCAAGAAGGGAUGAACAUGAACGCCUCGAUUAAUUCCAGAGCCCAGCAGCUUUGCCCUCUAAGCUUGAAGUGCAUCAGAGAGAAGUGCAUCUGCCUGGCCCGGGCCUCAGCUCCUGUUGUGUAUCGGGUCCGAGCCACGCCGGACUCUCCACUUGCUCAUCUGCGCAGCGGCGGCGUCCAAGGUCGCAGCGGCGAACCGCUUCGUCGUCGUGUCAAUGCCAGCGCUGAGGCGGCCCGCGGCAGGGGCCGGAGCCGGCCCCGGCGCCAUGAGAAGCUCCGUUCUCCUCACGCCAAGCACCGGUGCGGGGCGCACUAGCAUGAGACAAAGCAAGCAAGAGACGGCGAGCAGCCUCGUCCUGCUGCUGCUGCUGCUGCUUGUGUGCCGUGCCAUGGUCUCUGCUUCUGCUUCUGCUGCUGCUGCUCAGGUGGAGACAUAAAUAUUUGCUGCUCUAAUUCUUGGCAGUACAAGGAUCAAUCAUAGCGAUGG